rnacentral:lncRNA from 1 species
UGUCUUUAUGGUUACACGGAGCAGAUGGCCACGCAACAUGGUCACAUAUCUCACGCUAACACUCACUGGCACUGCCACAUGCACACACACACGCACAUACAGCCAUGCAUGCACACACACACACACACACACACACAGGCCUGAAGAAAAAUCAAGUUGGACUCAAGAGCUUUUUAUUUUAUGUCUGAUAUACAUUAGACAGGAGCAUUAGUCUGCUUUAUCAAUGCAUUUUAUGGUUGUCCUGUAUGACUAAUUCUACAGCUAGCUGGCAUUGAUAACAAUGGUUUACAUGGCAGACCUUAUCCUGGCAAAAGCUCGAACUGUACAAUAGUUAACUGUAGCUAACUCUGUGGUAGCUAACUGUCGGCUAUAGCUAACCAUAGCUAAUUGUAUAGCUAACUGUACAGUAUAGUAUAGAUAACUGUCCUAGCUGCUAGCCUGUUCGUCAAGGUUACUGUAUGUACUGUAGUACACCUUCUGUCUGUCCACUCUGCCAGCCAGUGGUCCAGUAAUGUUCAGAGCCAGGGAGAGAGAGCAGAGGAGAGGUAUGUGUCCCACCCUCUAUUAAUAGACCUACGACAGAUGCAGCUUUGUGUUGGCAGGGCACUCCGCAGCAGGCACUAGCCUCGUCAGAUGGCCAGGGGCUGGGGCACCGUCAAACUGAAGGAGGCAGCCGGCAGGCAGAGGGAUGGACGUUUCAGAUCUGUUGCCUUGUCUUAAUGGACAAGAGGCCCUCUGGGUCACCAGGAAGAUGCAUGGGUAAUAGGGUUUGGGUGUUAGCAUGGUGGCUUAUGGGCAGUAGUGGGACUGUGACCUUUACUGAGUGCAUGUCUAUGUGCAUGCUUGUGUGCGUGCUUGUGAUGAGAAGCAGCUGGAGGGUAAAGCUCCCUCCUUUGGGUGAUCCCAGCUGCAUGCCCUGUCACUGCAAUGACUGAGGCCAUUGUUCUUCUACAAAGAUGAGGCUAGGGCAAGAUCAGCUAACUGGUUCGAGAUCAGCUAACUGGUUCGAGAUCAGCUAACUGGGGCUAGAUCAGCUAACUGGGGCUAAAUCAGCUAACUGGGGCUAGAUCAGCUAACUGGGGCUAAAUCAGCUAACUGUGGGUAGAUCAGCUAACUGGGGCUAAAUCAGCUAACUGGGGGUAGAUCAGCUAACUGGGGCUAGAUCAGCUAACUGGUUCGAGAUCAGCUAACUGGGGCUAGAUCACCUAACUGGGGCUAAAUCAGCUAACUGGGGCUAGAUCAGCUAACUGGGGCUAAAUCAGCUAACUGGGGGUAGAUCAGCUAACUGGGGCUAGAUCAGCUAACUGGUGCGAGAUCAGCUAACUGGGGAUAGAUCAGCUAACUGGGGCUAAAUCAGCUAACUUUGGUUAAUCCUACUUCCAUACAGGCCAUAUUAACUCUGGCUCUGGGUGUGAGGGUUAAGGAUUUGCUAUGCACUGGAUCGCACUUAUGUGAUUUUUUUAUCAUACUGUCAACAUACGUACAGCGUACAGCGGAAUAUCACUCCACAGACAGACACACAUUUACAGCACAACCAGGACGUCUCACAAGGCCCAUAUCAGCACCAGAGGUUAUAGGGAGGUCAGCCUGUCUGACUUUGACCAGAAUCCCCAUCCCCCACCCACCCAUCCAGCCAUGUGUAACUGGACCUGGCCUGGCAACCCCCUCCCUGUUCUCUGCUCUCCUCUCUCUGGGCUGGUAUAAAUAGAUGUCCAUGCCUGCUCCCUCCCUUAACCCAGGGGGCCAAGAAGCCAUUCUUCCCUUUUUAAACACUCUGACGUGUCUGUCUGGAUGCCUCCUGUCUGCACCUGGUUACCUCUCUGGACUACACACACACACACACCAAUAGACACACACACCCACACACGCACAUCACACACACAAGCACACAAGCAUACACACACAAACACGUACAGACACACACACACACAUCAGUCUACAGAAGCUCUGUGGCAGGGGGAGUGCAGACAGGGGUGUACGUUUGAGGAGAAGGGCUUUGGUUUUGACUGUAGAGACAUGUAAAUGUCCCACUGGUGACCUGGUCUACACACUGAGCUCUGUGUCCAGGCACUUCAUGCCCUCCAGCUCAGGUUUCCACACUAAACCGGUCAGUGAAAUUCAGCUUUAUUGUGCUAAUAUUGAUUGAUAUACUGCAUGAAGACUUUCAUUCCAAAACGCUAUAUAUCCAUUUUCAGAAAUGUUGAAAAAUCAGCUUUUAUUGUUUAAAGAAAUUGGUGUGUUUUUUCACUGUCUAAUCAUGGCAUAGGGUUGUUCAAUGACAGAUAUGUAUUUGUUUAAAAUCUAUCACUUGAUGUAUUCAUUUCAGAGAAACAAAUAAUCUAUAUUUUUGGCAAAACGCUUUAUAUCCGCCUCACUCUCAGAGAAAUAAGUAGUACUGCUGGGUUUUACACAGUAAAAUGUAACAAAUGAAAAGUAAUUAAAAACACUAAUAUGAGAUCUGGAUGUAAAACAUUUACAUUUCACAUUUUAGUCAAAUGUAAAUCCAGAGCAAUUAACAGUAAGUGCAUUCAUCUAGAUAGCUAGGUGAGACAACCACGUAUCACAGUCAAAUAUACAGGAUACCAACAUUCCAUUCCAGCUAUUCCAGCACAAUGGAUAUAUAGCGUUUUGCAAAAAUAAAUAAUAACAAUCAUGAAUUAAAAAUCGGAGAACAGUAAUAUUUUACACACACACGAAGAAACCCAUAAGUAAUCAUUUCUGAUGAAAAACACAAAUGUGAGAAAUUUGUGGAUUUAGCAUUUUGGAAAUAAACUUCAUAUUGACUGUAGCGUUAAUGCUCAUUCACCUUGUCUUGGCGUACUGAUAGCAUCAUGGUGGACAGAUAAUGGAGGAGGCAGGUCUGUGAGCCUCUGCCUGUAGACAGACAGAUAAUGGAGGAGGCAGGUCUGUGAGCCUCUGCCUGUAGACAGACAGCUAAUGGAGGAGGCAGGUCUGUGAGCCUCUGCCUGUAGACAGACAGCUAAUGGAGGAGGCAGGUCUGUGAGCCUCUGCCUGUAGACAGACAGCUAAUGGAGGAGGCAGGUCUGUGAGCCUCUGCCUGUAGACAGACAGAUAAUGGAGGAGGCAGCAGGAGACAGAGGAGGGAUAUCAGUUACAGAUGCUCCAGUUAGGAGUGAACCAGUGUUUGCUGAGGUUGCAUACUUUUAAAAAGACACACUCUGGUCCUCCCGAGUGACACAGCAGUCUAAGGCACUGCAUCGCAGACACAGGUUCAUUCCCGGGCUGUGCUACAACCGGCCGUGGCCGGGAGUCCCAUAGGACGGCAUAAAAUUGGCCCAGCAUCGUCCGGGUUAGGGGAGGGUUUGGCCGGUGGGGCUUUACUUGGCUCAUCGCACUCUAGUGCCUCCUUGUGGUGGGCCGGGUGCCUGCAGGCUGACCCCGGUCGCCAGUUGAACGGUGUUCCCUCCGACACAUUGGUGCAGCUGGCUUCCCGGGAUUAGCUAGCAGGUGUUAAGGAGCACGGUUAGGGGGGUCAUGUUUCGGGCGGACGCAUGACUCCACCUUCGCCUCUCCCGAGGCCGUUGGGGAGUUGCAGCGAAGAGACAAGAUUUAAAAUUGGGGAGAAAAAGGAGGGUAAAACAAAGAAAGAAAAAGACACUCUCUCUCUUCAGGUGACCCCGCUCCUGCUAAUCAGGGUGCUUUACAUUCUAUUGCAUGACCAUGUCUGGUGCUUUUGAGUAUGUGUGUGUGUGUGUGUAUGUGUGUGUGUGUGUGUGUGUGUGUGUGUGUGUGUGUGUGUGUGUGUGUGUGUGUGUGUGUGUGUGUGUGUGUGUGUGUGUGUGUGUGUGUGUGUGCGUUUGCACUUGAGUGUGUGUGCUUGUGUGUGUGUGCGUGCGUGCGUACCUGCAUGACCAUGUCUGGUGCUUUUGAGUGUGUGUGUGUGGGUGUGGGUGUGUGUAUGUGUGGGUGUGUUUGUGUGUGUGUGUGUGUGUGUGCGUCUCACUGGAUGUUGUCAGCUGGCCCAAGUUCAAAGCAAUUCCUUUACCAACACAACAUGGAUCAUAACUCAACAGCCAUCUGCCAUAUUAGAAGAUAGUGUCAAGUCAGAAAGCUAAGGUCAAGUGUAUUCACCUAGUGAACCCAGAACUCUCCUUUACAGUAAAGUGAAUGUGUGUGUGUUUCUGUGUGUGUGUGUGUGUGUGUGUGUGUGUGUGUGUCUAUGUGUGUGUGUGUAUGUGUACCUGCAUAAGUUCGUGAGUGUAUGCGUGUGCGUUUGUGCGUGCGUGCGUAUGUACCUAGAAGCCAAGCCUCCAGUGAUCCACAUCCCAGAACAGUAAGCAAGGCUAUGUUUAAUAAUGCAGGCGGCAAAAUACUCCUCACUACUGAGCAGACACAAUGAUCCUCUCAAGACAUACUGUGCUGUACUACUGUAGUACUGUACUGCUGUACUACUGUACUAUACUACUGUGCUUUGUACUGUACUGCUGUACUACUAUAUUGUACUACUGUACUACUGUACUAAUGUACUGUAGUGCUGUACUACUGUACUACUGUACUACUGUACUAUUAUACUGUACUGCUGUACUACUGUACUGUACCACUGUCCUACUGUACUCAUGUACUGUACUAUUGUACUGUACUGUACUGUACGACUGUACUGUACUGCUGUACUACUAUACUACUGCACUACUGUACUGUACUGCUGUACUACUGUACUGAACUGCUGUACUACUAUACUGCUGUACUGUGCUGCUGUACUACUGUACCUCUGUACUACUGUACUGCUGUACUGUACUACUGUACUACUGUACUGCUGUACUGCUGUACUACUGUACUAUACUACUGUAGAACUGUACUACUGUACAGUUGUACAGUAGGGUGCUUUCUCAUGCAUUAACACACAAAUUGCUGUACAGUACUACUGGACUGCUGUACUACUGUACUACUGUACUACUUUACUGUACUACUGCAUUGCUAUACUACUGUACAGUAAUACUGGACUGCUGUACUACUGUACUACUGUACUGUACUGUACUCUCCUGCUCCUAUCAGACAUAGGGGAUAUAGCAACAGAUCCAACAGGAUUAUAUGACCGAACAGCAGGCAUUGUGACAGUGAAUGAGAGAACAUGUGUGCGUCCUUGGGUGCUUUCUCAUGCAUUAACACACAAAUUGCAUUUUAUUUUCAUUUCACCAGGCAAUUGAUUGAAAACACUCAUUUACUGUACAUCAAUGACCUUUUUCUUGCAUUUUGUUGCAAGAAGGCAAAGUUCAAGUUGAUGUUUUCCCUACAACUAACUGAUUUUUCCUGUUGGGUCCUUUCAGACAGAGCUACCUGACAAGCUGCUGUGAGCAUGAUGGAGGGAGGAGGCAGAGGAAGGAGGAGGGAGGAGGAAGAAGGAGGAGGAGGAGGGAGGAGGUGGUAGGCCAGUGUAUUCCUCUCUCUGGCUCAUUAGGGAGCAGGUGAGAAACAGGGAGGAGGCGGUAGGCCAGUGUAUUCCUCUCUCUGCUCAUUAGGGAGCAGGUGAGAAACAGGGAGGAGGCGGUAGGCCAGUGUAUUCCUCUCUCUGCUCAUUAGGGAGCAGGUGAGAAACAGGGAGGAGGCGGUAGGCCAGUGUAUUCCUCUCUCUGCUCAUUAGGGAGCAGGUGAGAAACAUUAACAGCAGCAGCUGCACUGCUCUGCACAUGUGGUAGAGGGCUUGAGCUAGCCCACCCCACUGUCUGUCUGUCCACCAGUGGAAACUCACUCCUCUCUGGGGAAUGCCUAGUGUACACCAGUUACCAGGAGUACAUUUAGUAAAGGCUUCUUGGACACACAUUAAGCCCAGUCCUGUACUAAAUAGCUCUUUAAAUGGAGAUUCUCUAUUAAAUAUGUUUUUUACUUCUGGAUUAGGCUUAAUCUGUGUCUGGAAAACUGUCCCAUUGAGUAACUAAGAGUUACACUUCAGACAAUCCCAGUAUCUCUGUCUCAGACUGGUUAGAGGUGAAUGAAUCUGUGAUUAUGUGUUUAUCUUUAAUUCUUUCAACAACAAAAAAAGAAAGAAAGAAAGUUCCACACUCUGCUCCCAACAAUUUAACGAGUAAACAUAACCAACGUUGCAGCACGCAGUUACAACAUUAAUGCUUCCACCAGGUUGCUUUUCACUAUGUUUUAAUCCUAACCAUUUUUCUGUGUUUACUGAGGUGUUGUUGAAGCUGUCCUCCUGACUUGGCUGACUGGGACCAUGGUACUGGAGGACCAGAGUAGACUGACGGGUCUAUCACUGUCCUUUGGGGUGAGGUAGUAGGUUGUAUAGUUUUAGGGUCAUACCCUUCCUGUCAGAUAACUAUACAACUUACUGUCUUUCCUGAGGUGGCUGUAAUAUCAUCCAUUAUCUCUGCAGAGCUCUCGUCACUUGGACCUCGAUAGGAAUAUGUAUUAUGUACUAAUUCAAGUUGAUAACACGUUUGUAAUGUCAUUUAUAUUGUAUGUUUGCAUCAUUUGGUUCUGUUCUGGCUCUUUGUAUACUGUAUUUAUUAUUUUGCCGUGAAACGGCUCUGCCUCUCUGAUGUUCGCACGGGGUGAGGUAGUAGGUUGUGUGGUUUCAGGGUAGUGAUUUUGCCCCAUCAGGAGAUAACUAUACAAUUUACUGCCUUCCCUGAAGGGCAGCAAGACUACACCAGACAACAGCAGAGGCCAGCGUUGGCACCACAUGAUAAUCUAGCAUUGAAAAUAGGUAUCUAUUUAGGUAUCUAGGUAUUAAACAGUUAUCUAUCUGUUAAUCAGCUCCAGAGGACACAGAAGCAUUUCAGGUAAAGUCUACUGACAAUCUAUGAUACCAUGUAGCUAACAUGUUAUUGGAUAACUUUGAAAUUGUAUGUAUUCAAAUGAGUAAUAAAAAGUAUUAUUUUAUAAAUGUCAUCCAUACCUUGUCUGUCUUUUUGCUGUGUUUGGAUUUGUUAAAUGAUAAUAUUCAAAAGGCAUUCGCACAUCUGAGAUAUCUUUUUUGCAGGUGCAUGGUAAUAAG